UUAUAUAACUCCACUUUCAAUUAGGCUUAGUAACUCGACCAUCUUGUAAGAACGUCGAAGACCAACCGAAAUUGACAUUCAAACAUCAUUCAGUGAAAAAGUUAAAAUAUCUCGUUUGUUUCAGAUAAGAACAAAUUGACCCAUAACGUCCAAACCCUAAGGCGUUUGACUUUAUAUUGGAUGGUUAAAAAGUAAAAAUAAAAAAAAGAAUAAAAAACGGACGACCUUCAACUUCU
rnacentral:lncRNA from 1 species